rnacentral:rRNA from 1 species
UACGUAGGUGGCAAGCGUUGUCCGGAUUUAUUGGGUUUAAAGGGUGCGUAGGCGGCUUGAUAAGUCAGUGGUGAAAGCCGAUCGCUUAACGAUCGAAUUGCCAUUGAUACUGCCAGGCUUGAGUACAGUUGAGGUAGGCGGAAUUGACAGUGUAGCGGUGAAAUGCGUAGAUAUUGUCAAGAACACCAAUUGCGAAGGCAGCUUACUAAAGUGUAACUGACGCUGAGGCACGAAAGUGCGGGGAUCAAACAGG